GGAGCCUGCUUCUGGGUGGGGCCAGGCCUGGGCUCUCAUCUGGACAUUUCCCACAAAAUCACUGCUCCACAUCCUCAUCUCAUGGCCUUCUUCUGGGGAACCUGAUCUGAGGCACUCACAGAUCCUGGGAGCUCGUGUACCCUGCGGUGUGGAGAACUUGGAGGCUGUUGACAAAAUCCAGCUUUGUGGUUUCGUCCGAAGGUGGUUGGAGCAGGUCUGAACUGAUGGAGGGAGCAAGAAUCAAGAUGCAAUGCAGAUUCUGGACUCUGCUUCCUUAGGAACCAGAGAUGGGCCAGCGCUCGAGGGUGAAGGAUUUGUCCUGAAAUCUUCCAGAUCCAGGAAAAACUGGCCACCUUCUCCUGCAACUCCACUUCUGGCCUCUAGAGGGGGCCGCCGGGAGCCAAAGCACAGCAGAGCUCAGCAAGAUGAACUCCCUCUGUGCCCGCCCCCGAGGGAAUGUCCCUGCUGGCAUUUGGAAAGCAGCUGGUUAACAGCGCGAGCGCGGCCUCCCCACCCUCACAAACUUCUCCACGACACAUUGCACCAUAAUUCUCCCUAAUAAAAUAAUAUGAAGCUCAA